rnacentral:rRNA from 1 species
GACCGGCGCACGGGUGCGUAACGCGUAUGCAAUCUACCUUUCACAGAGGGAUAGCCCAGAGAAAUUUGGAUUAAUACCUCAUAGUAUUAUAGAGUGGCAUCACUUUAUAAUUAAAGUCACAACGGUGAAAGAUGAGCAUGCGUCCCAUUAGCUAGUUGGUAAGGUAACGGCUUACCAAGGCAACGAUGGGUAGGGGUCCUGAGAGGGAGAUCCCCCACACUGGUACUGAGACACGGACCAGACUCCUACGGGAGGCAGCAGUGAGGAAUAUUGGACAAUGGGCGCAAGCCUGAUCCAGCCAUGCCGCGUGCAGGAUGACGGUCCUAUGGAUUGUAAACUGCUUUUGUACAGGAAGAAACACUGGUUCGUGAACCAGCUUGACGGUACUGUAAGAAUAAGGAUCGGCUAACUCCGUGCCAGCAGCCGCGGUAAUACGGAGGAUCCAAGCGUUAUCCGGAAUCAUUGGGUUUAAAGGGUCCGUAGGCGGUUUAGUAAGUCAGUGGUGAAAGCCCAUCGCUCAACGGUGGAACGGCCAUUGAUACUGCUAAACUUGAAUUAUUAGGAAGUAACUAGAAUAUGUAGUGUAGCGGUGAAAUGCUUAGAGAUUACAUGGAAUACCAAUUGCGAAGGCAGGUUACUACUAAUGGAUUGACGCUGAUGGACGAAAGCGUGGGUAGCGAACAGGAUUAGAUACCCUGGUAGUCCACGCCGUANACGAUGGAUACUAGCUGUUGGAAGCAAUUUCAGCGGCUAAGCGAAAGUGAUAAGUAUCCCACCUGGGGAGUACGUUCGCAAGA